GUGCCAGUAGCUCAGGGGUUAGAGCACAACGCUUAUAACGUUGGGGUCGGCGGUUCAAAACCGCCCUGGCGCA
rnacentral:tRNA from 1 species